UACGUAGGGACCAAGCGUUGUUCGGAUUUACUGGGCGUAAAGAGCGCGUAGGCGGCUGGAAUAGUCCGGUGUGAAAUCCACAGGCUUAACCUGUGAAUGCCGCUGGAAACUGUCUGGCUAGAGUCCGGAAGGGGCGAGUGGAAUUCCUGGUGUAGCGGUGGAAUGCGCAGAUAUCAGGAGGAACACCGGUGGCGAAGGCGGGUCUUUGGGCAGUAACUGACGCUGAGGAGCGAAAGCGUGGGGAGCGAACAGG
rnacentral:rRNA from 1 species